UUUUCCAGAGAAAGCAGUUGGAUUUUACCGCGCUAAGAACAUCUGUUAUUGUUGUGGAAAGGCUGGUCAUUACAUUCGAGAGUGCCCGAAGAUGUUGAACAAAAGUGUUAAGGUUCCUAAACCAGUCAGGAUUAGUGAGGGGAUUCCUCAGAGUUUCAUGGUGAAAGCAGAUCCUGGAACCGAAGGAGCCAUGUUAACCAGCAGUGGAGAAUAUGCAGUACCUGCAAUAGAUGCUGGACGGUUACACAGGAUGUUGAAUACAUUACCUUGACGUGUGAACAGUCCAAUCGCGAAGCAGACGAGCGCUUCAGAAGUUCAGUGUCUCUGACAUCAUCUUCCACCAGUCCAUCAGCUCCUCCCGCUCCUCCUCCUUCCUCUCCAUCAGAGACUCCAGCUCAAAGUCCACCUGAAACACAAGCAGUCGAAACAUUAUACUGUUGUCUUAGUGGGCUGUAUCCAGUAAAAUAAUACAAAUCAAUACAUAAAAAAAUAUUUAUAAAUAUAUAAAUAAAUACAGAAAUAAAUAAAUCAAAAAUGUAUAAUUCACAGACACAUUUCUAAAAGGAUUAUUACUCCUACAAAGGAUCAGCUGAUGAAACACUAACAAAAAAACGAAUACGUUUGAGAACUCAAAAUUUAAGUAAUUCUUCAAACAAACAUUUGCACUUUCCAGCUUUUCCCGUGUGAAAAUGUGUUGUUUUAAUAUGUCUCAGUAAUUUGGAUGCAUUCACUUAGGAUCAGGGACAUUUUAACCAGCAUUUUCCCUUCAUACAGUCAUUACUUCUGUCGUGGAGGCUAUGUUUGCAUUGCUGUUUGUCUUUUAGCAGGAUUAUGCAAAAACUACUGAAACAUUUUUAUUAAAAACUUUCUCACUCUCUUAAACAUUGUCAGAUUUUGUGUUUUUCAGCAUUGAGUGAAUUUGUGAUAAUGCAGUGAUCUUGAUGUGAAAAAUCCGGCUCAUAAAAC